CUCAACCAUACCACCCUGAACAAAAUUGAUGUCAUCUGAUUUUUGGAAUAUAAGAAGGGUUGGGUCUGGUUAGCACUUGCAUGAGAGCCCACCAGGAAAAAUCAAGGAUCUCCAAAUUGAGG
rnacentral:rRNA from 1 species